rfam:Pristionchus pacificus strain PS312 contig1492, whole genome shotgun sequence.
UCUUCAUUCUACGCGCUCUCUCACUUCUCGGAUCGGCGAGAGAGUAUGCGAAAUGAAGAGA